rnacentral:tRNA from 1 species
GGACGCUUAGCUCAGUUGGUUAGAGCAUCUGCCUUACAAGCAGAGGGUCGUAGGUUCGAGUCCUAUAGCGUCCA